AGCGUGUUUAUUUCCCUUAAAAUACCGGCCGUUUAUAUGCGGUCGUUUCUUGAAAUUAUUGUCUUAUUUCAUCGUUAUAAUGCUUUACAAUAUUCAUUGUUUGAUUUGUGUAACUUAUUCUUGAUUUAUCUUCAAUUUUAGCUUCGUUAAUUCGACGAGAACGCGUUCAUUCAACGCCGACUUUAAAGUCACACCUUGGAUGUAAAAUUCGACAAUCUCGAUAGAGUGGUCAUGAGGCGAUGAGAGCAUUCAAAGAUGCGCUGAGUGGAUGUCUAUUGUAGAACGAGGAGCUACGAGUUGUGAAAUAACCUGAAUUUCCACAAGAUUUGGAAAAGAACUAUAACCAUGCACGGUGACGUUUCGCGUUGAAAGGCGUCAUCAGAGAGCAUUUAACGUCAACAAAAUGCCGACAAAUGCUUGUGAAGGUCACAAGAUUUGUUCUGCUAAACCUCGAACAAUAAAUUCACCGAACCCUAAAGACGACAGAAGUGAAGAGGGACGGAUUAAAGAACAACCAUGACGUA